GACGAACGCUGGCGGCGUGCUUAACACAUGCAAGUCGAGCGGUAAGGCCCUUUCGGGGUACGACGAGCGGCGAACGGGUAGGAGUAACAACGUGGGUGGACCUCGCCCUCCAGCUCUGGGAGUAAAGCCUCGGGAAACCGGGGUACUAAUACUGGAUAUGACUCCAUGACGCAUGUUGGUGGGGUGGAAAGCCUUGUGCGGCUGAGGAUGGGCCCGCGGCCUAUCAGCUUGUUGGU
rnacentral:rRNA from 1 species